rnacentral:lncRNA from 1 species
GUAAUCAACGGUUCAGGCAAGUUUUCAAGUUUUUCUUUUUACUUAAACUCUUCUACGAGUAGUUUCAGUCAGAUAUGCAUAUGAAUUGUACUUUGUACAUAUUGCAUGUAUUCAUCAAGUAUGAAAGGCUGAUCACCUUCAUUACCAGUCGUUCCAGAUAUAAUUGUUAUGUCCAUUUUCAAUGUUCAUUCAGCUAUGAAAUUUUGUUC